GUGGUGGCUCAGUGGUAGAGCACUCGCCUAGCAUGUGUGAGGUACUGGGUUCGAUUCUCAGCACCACA
rnacentral:tRNA from 1 species